UCGGGGAAUUUUGGGCAAUGGGCGAAAGCCUGACCCAGCAACGCCGCGUGAAGGAUGAAGUAUUUCGGUAUGUAAACUUCGAAAGAAUAGGAAGAAUAAAUGACGGUACUAUUUAUAAGGUCCGGCUAACUACGUGCCAGCAGCCGCGGUAAUACGUAGGGACCAAGCGUUAUUCGGAUUUACUGGGCGUACAGGGAGCGUAGGCGGUUUGGUAAGCCCUCUGUGAAAUCUCCAGGCUUAACCUGGAAAAGUCGGAGGGGACUGCUGGGCUAGAGGACGGGAGAGGAGCGCGGAAUUCCCGGUGUAGCGGUGAAAUGCGUAGAGAUCGGGAGGAAGGCCGGUGGCGAAGGCGGCGCUCUGGAACGUUUCUGACGCUGAGGCUCGAAAGCGUGGGGAGCAAACAGGAUUAGAUACCCACGUAGUCCCUGAGCGGGCUGGCAAGGCGCGAU
rnacentral:rRNA from 1 species